rnacentral:rRNA from 1 species
AAUAUUGGGCAAUGGGCGAAAUCCUGACACAGCAACGCCGCGUGAAGGAAGAAGGUCUUCGGAUUGUAAACUUCUUUUAUGAGGGACGAUGGACGUGACGGUACCUCAUGAAUAAGCAACGGCUAAGUACGGGCAAGCAGCCGCGGUAAUACGUAGGUGGCAAGCGUUAUCCGGAUUUACUGGGUGUAAAGGGCACGUAGGCGGGGAUGGAAGUCAAAUGUCAAAUCUAUGGGCUUAACUCAUAAACUGCAUUUGAAACUGUAUCUCUUGAGUGCUGGAGAGGUAGACGGAAUUCCUUGUGUAGCGGUGAAAUGCGUAGAUAUAAGGAAGAACACCAGUGGCGAAGGCGGUCUACUGGACAGUAACUGACGCUGAGGCGCGAGAGCGUGGGGAGCAAACAGG